rnacentral:rRNA from 1 species
AUUGAACGCUGGCGGCAUGCCUUACACAUGCAAGUCGAACGGCAGCACGGGGCAACCUGGUGGCGAGUGGCGAACGGGUGAGUAAUGCAUCGGAACGUACCUUUCAGUGGGGGAUAACGUAGCGAAAGUUACGCUAAUACCGCAUAUUCUGUGAGCAGGAAAGCAGGGGAUCGCAAGACCUUGCGCUGAUUGAGCGGCCGAUGUCAGAUUAGCUAGUUGGUGAGGUAAAGGCUCACUAAGGCGACGAUCUGUAGCGGGUCUGAGAGGAUGAUCCGCCACGCUGGAACUGAGACACGGUCCAGACUCCUACGGGAGGCAGCAGUGGGGAAUUUUAGACAAUGGGGGCAACCCUGAUCCAGCCAUGCCGCGUGAGUGAAGAAGGCCUUCGGGUUGUAAAGCUCUUUCGGCCGGGAAGAAAUCGCACGGGCUAAUACCCUGUGUGGAUGACGGUACCGGAAUAAGAAGCACCGGCUAACUACGUGCCAGCCGCCGCGGUAAAAC